rnacentral:lncRNA from 1 species
GUGUUGUCUUCUUUUUUUUUUUGCCACUGCUAUCAUGUGCUGCUGUUACUUUGAAAAUUUAUUUUUUUUUAAUCCUAGGAGAUUGCCAUGAAGAAGGCAAAUGAGAAAGCACUCGUGUCAAGUGACAUAAAACUCACGUUUGGCUACCAGGAGAAUGUUCUUCAUAAUAUUGGAGAUGAAGGCACUGAACAUCUCUCCCAGGAAGAUGACAGGGACACUGUUCAUUUUCUUGAGUACUUCUUUGUAGCUUCUCAGUGUUUUCUCUUGCUGCUUUGCAAUCGCAAAACAAGCCUGAUUACAUGAUUGAGAAGUAUAUUUAGAGACUAAAAGAAUCAAAGUUCAUCUGCUUUCAUGGCCUCUGGUAAAGAAGAGACUCCUUUGGAAGCCCUAUGAGUGAAAUUAUCACUAUAAUAAACCCAGACUUUUGUCAUGGACUUGACA